rnacentral:tRNA from 1 species
UUAAAGGUAGUUUAAAAAAUACAAACUUUGGGGGUUUGAGAUAGGAUUCAUUUUAUCUUCCUUUAAA